rnacentral:rRNA from 1 species
UGGGAGUUUGAAUCCUGUGCUCAGGAUGAACGCUGGCGGCAGGCCUAACACAUGCAAGUCGAGCGGUAGAGAGAAGCUUGCUUCUCUUGAGAGCGGCGGACGGGUGAGUAAUGCCUAGGAAUCUGCCUGGUAGUGGGGGAUAACGUUCGGAAGACGGACGCUAAUACCGCAUACGUCCUACGGGAGAAAGCAGGGGACCUUCGGGCCUUGCGCUAUCAGAUGAGCCUAGGUCGGAUUAGCUAGUUGGUGAGGUAAUGGCUCACCAAGGCGACGAUCCGUAACUGGUCUGAGAGGGAUGAUCAGUCACACUGGAACUGAGACACGGUCCAGACUCCUACGGGAGGCAGCAGUGGGGAAUAUUGGACAAUGGGCGAAAGCCUGAUCCAGCCAUGCCGCGUGUGUGAAGAAGGUCUUCGGAUUGUAAAGCACUUUAAGUUGGGAGGAAGGGCAUUAACCUAAUACGUUAGUGUUUUGACGUUACCGACAGAAUAAGCACCGGCUAACUCUGUGCCAGCAGCCGCGGUAAUACAGAGGGUGCAAGCGUUAAUCGGAAUUACUGGGCGUAAAGCGCGCGUAGGUGGUUUGUUAAGUUGGAUGUGAAAUCCCCGGGCUCAACCUGGGAACUGCAUUCAAAACUGACUGACUAGAGUAUGGUAGAGGGUGGUGGAAUUUCCUGUGUAGCGGUGAAAUGCGUAGAUAUAGGAAGGAACACCAGUGGCGAAGGCGACCACCUGGACUAAUACUGACACUGAGGUGCGAAAGCGGGGGGAGCAAACAGGAUUAGAUACCCUGGUAGUCCACGCCGUAAACGGUAUGUUCUAAGGGGGAGGG